ensembl:lncRNA
AGGAUACAACAGCAGCCUGGCUGGUGGAACAGAGGAGGAGAUCCAACAGGCCACGCAGCCUCCGAGCAAACCUCCUGAGCGUGACUCUUUGAAGUGAACUCUGCGGAGACGUCAGGAAAUACGAAGUACAGAAGAACAAAAUCCUUGAAAGUGGACUGAGUCACCUGAACUGCAUUUGGUGCUGGAGCAGAUGGGCUCCGUGUUUCCGCCAGGAGGUGCCUCUGCAGGCACACUUCCUACAGUCGCUCUUACAUCAGCAGCUAUUUUAGACUCACAGUGCCACUUCCCUGCGAGUGGCCAGCAAAAAUAUCCUUCUGGAAACCACGCAAUCCUUUCCUCUGUAUCUGGAACACGCUGCUGUGUUGGGUGCCUCUGGCUCUUUGGUG